rnacentral:rRNA from 1 species
ACCUUGAAAUACCACCCUUUAAUGGCUGGUGUUCUAACGUAGACCCGUAAUCCGGGUUGCGGACAGUGUCUGGUGGGUAGUUUGACUGGGGCGGUCUCCUCCCAAAGAGUAACGGAGGAGCACGAAGGUUAGCUAAUCCUGGUCGGACAUCAGGAGGUUAGUGCAAUGGCAUAAGCUAGCUUGACUGCGAGAGUGACGGCUCGAGCAGGUGCGAAAGCAGGUCAUAGUGAUCCGGUGGUUCUGAAUGGAAGGGCCAUCGCUCAACGGAUAAAAGGUACUCCGGGGAUAACAGGCUGAUACCGCCCAAGAGUUCAUAUCGACGGCGGUGUUUGGCACCUCGAUGUCGGCUCAUCACAUCCUGGGGCUGAAGUAGGUCCCAAGGGUAUGGCUGUUCGCCAUUUAAAGUGGUACGCGAGCUGGGUUUAGAACGUCGUGAGACAGUUCGGUCCCUAUCUGCCGUGGGCGCUGGAGAAUUGAGGGGGGCUGCUCCUAGUACGAGAGGACCGGAGUGGACGCAUCACUGGUGUUCGGGUUGUCAUGCCAAUGGCAUUGCCCGGUAGCUAAAUGCGGAAGAGAUAAGUGCUGAAAGCAUCUAAGCACGAAACUUGCCCCGAGAUGAGUUCUCCCUGACCCUUUAAGGGUCCUGAAGGAACGUUGAAGACUACGACGUUGAUAGGUCGGGUGUGUAAGCGCAGCGAUGCGUUGAGCUAACCGAUACUAAUGAACCGUGAGGCUUAACCUU